UACGAAGGGGGCUAGCGUUGCUCGGAAUUACUGGGCGUAAAGGGAGCGUAGGCGGAUAGUUUAGUCAGAGGUGAAAAGCCCCAGGGCUCAACCCUUGGAAUUGCCUUUGAUACUGGCUAUCUUGAGUACGGAAGAGGUAUGUGGAACUCCGAGUGUAGAGGUGAAAAUUCGUAGAUAUUCGGAAGAACACCAGUGGCGAAGGCGACAUACUGGUCCGUUACUGACGCUGAGGCUCGAAAGCGU
rnacentral:rRNA from 1 species